rnacentral:tRNA from 2 species
GCCCAGAUGGCGGAAUUGGUAGACGCACUAGGUUCAGGUCCUAGCGGUGGUUAACACUGUGCAAGUUCAAAUCUUGUUCUGGGCA